CCUACGGGUGGCAGCAGUGGGGAAUAUUGGGCAAUGGGCGCAAGCCUGACCCAGCAACGCCGCGUGAAGGAAGAAGGCUUUCGGGUUGUAAACUUCUUUUAGCAGGGACGAAGCAAGUGACGGUACCGGAUGAAUAAGCCACGGCUAACUACGCGCCAGCAGCCGCGGUAAGACGUAGGUGGCAAGCGUUAUCCGGAUUUACUGGGUGUAAAGGGCGUGUAGGCGGGAGUGCAAGUCAGAGGGGAAAACUAGGGGCUCAACCCCUAGCCUGCAUUUGAAACUGUACUUCUUGAGUGCUGGUGAGGCAAUCGGCCUUCCGUGUGUAGCGGUGAACUGCGUA
rnacentral:rRNA from 1 species